rnacentral:misc_RNA from 1 species
UUGCCUUCCCGGACCGCGAGAUGUGUGGUCUCUCCCGUGUUGUUGGCGAGCAUCUUCAGACGCUCAUGAGAGAACGUAAUCAGCGUUUUGCUCCAGUCGUACUUUCUGGAAAGCCGCCAAAUGGAAGGUCCGAGAAUAUAAUCCUUCCGGCCAUUGGGAUUCGCCAGAAAUCCGCGCCGGCGGAGAGUAUUGGCCAAUCGGAAGACACUGCUUCGAUCGAUCCCGAGCAGAUCCGUAAGCUGUCCGAGCGGAACUGGAUCGGCCGAUUUGGCCACAGCUUCGAGAAUGAACAAGCCUCGAUCCAGACUUUGAAUGGAUGGCGUCUCCAGGGCAGCCUUCUUCAUGGUGUGGUUUAGAAUAUCGCUUUCUGCCGCACGCUCGCAGAGCUCGCCAAGUAAGA